GUUUGGGGAAAGAGCCAUCAAAGUCCACACAGUCAACAACCAUGACUACAACUGUAGUACUUGAGUUCCUACUCAUUGGUUUUAUCAGUCUAGUUGAGAUCAUUCUAUCGAAAUCGAAAUCAGGUAAGAGAUUCUCAGCAGCUUGGUUCUUCACUUGGCCGUAGUUUCUCAGAGAAUGGCAACGAGCACAUACUGUUACAUCAUCAUCAUCUUUAUCCUUCUUGGCUUCCUCUCUAGCUAGCUUCUUCCUCUCUGAUUUCGAAACUCGUUUCUUCUCGACCAUCUCCUCUGUUACAUUACCGUAUCCAACACCAGCUGGAGCAAAGCCAUCUAGCUCAACAUCGUUUCCUUCCUCCUUCUCUUCCCACUCAUCUGACUCCCAGUCAAACUCAUCCUCACUCUCAGAGUCACUACUCUCUAAUACAUUCGUGACAUCAUCAUCCACAUCAUCCUCCUCAUCAUCAUCAUCAACCAUUUCAAACCCAUCAAGCUCAUCUUCAGCCACCUCCUCCAAGCUCUUUACAACGACCUUUCUCUUCUGAUAAUACCCGGGCGAAUCAGAAUCACUGUCCUGCAUAAAAAUCCCACAACCUGGACAGACAAGCUUCCCAUACUCCUCAUCUUCAUCUCUCCCUUCACUCAUCAUUGCCUUCUUGGGAAAGAUUGUCCCUUUAACUCUCUCCACGCUUUCAACAACUUGCUCUUUCUUCACAGCUAAACACUUCACAACACAUGUCUUCUUCUUCCUCUUCGUCUCACUCAACCCUAUUGAAAAAGUUGAGACCUUUCCUCAGAAUCCCAUCACCAAAACGAGUCUCAACAAAGAAGAGAGAAUAUUACCUGAGAAAAAUUGAAAGUCCGGUCUGGGUAUGAACCGGUUAACGCUAAAGCUUGCGUCUUUAAGCUUUGGCUUUACUCUGCAAAUGUUCACUGUACUUGAAAUCAAAACCACCAUCUUCGUUUCAGCAGACUUGUGAAGAAAUCGCGCCGGGAUAAGCCAACUCCGAGUGAGAGCCAAAAACGCAGCGUAUUGGCUCGAACUUUCGAUACUUCAAAACUUUACAACUCUAAACCCUACAAGUAAUUACGUAAACACCCUUCAAACUAUAUCUUUUAUGUUUUGUAAUGGACUCGUAUAAUUAAUUGUCUUUUCUUAUACGUGGAAUACGUUAAAGACUCAAACUUUAAAACAGAGACGAUAAGGUUGGGAGACCCAUCACGCGGACAAGAACUGAGCUUAAACCCCAUUUGAUAACUUUUGUGGGAGCUCCGACGAACAAAAAUGGCGGCAAAGUUUAUAGGCGGAGGCUGUUCAUGGCGGCGCUUUUCAGGAAACUUGGACAAGAGAGCAGCAACAGCAUCAUCUCGAGUUCUUAUCUUCUCUGUUCGGUCCUCUCAUUCCAUGGAUGACAUGGACACUGUCUAUAAGCAAUUGGGUAUCUCUCCUCUUCAUCUAAAUAUUGUGUCAUUGACCUGAAGCUGAUGAGUCUUCAUAUAAAGUUGGGAGCUUUAAGCUUUUGAAAAGUGUAUUUUUUUUUUUGUGAAUUUUGCUUUGGUAUUUGUGUAAAAAUCUUGUUUUAAAAUUUGGUCUCAGGACUGUUCUCACUAAAGAAGAAGAUCAAAGAUGUUGUUCUCAAGGCGGAGAUGUUAGCACCUGAUGCUCUUGAGCUAGAAGAAGAGCAAUGGAUUAAGCAAGAAGAGACAUUGCGUUACUGUGACUUAUGGGAUGAUCCAACCAAAUCUGAUGAGAUUUUUCUCAAGCUAGCUGCUCGUGCCAAAGCAGUUGAUACUCUCAAAGACCUCAAGUACAAGGUUCUUUUUGGUUUUACUUCAAACAACUCUUCUUCAUUUGCAAGACGUUUAGUUUUGAGUGUGUUUUUGUUGAUUAGGCCGAAGAAGCUAAGCUAAUCAUACAGUUAGAUGAGAUGGAUGCUAUAGACUACAGUCUUUUUGAGCAAGCUUAUGAUUCAUCCCUCGAUGUGAGCAGAUCCUUGCAUCACUAUGAGAUGUCUAAGCUUCUUAGUGAUCAGUAUGACUCUGAAGGAGCGUGUAUGGUUAUCAAAUCUGGAGCUCAUGACACAAAAUCUCAAGUCAGUUUCAACAUUCUCAAGAACCUUUCUGUCUUUACUUUCUAUAUGUUCUUAUAACAUUUUUUUGAUGAUUUGCAGAUGUGGACAGAACAAAUUGUAAGCAUGUACAUCAAGUGGGCAGAGAAGCUAGGCCAAAACGCAAGAGUGGCUGAGACCUUGAGGAAUAGAAAUGGCGUGAGUUCAGCCACAAUAGAGUUUGAAUUCGAGUUUGCUUAUGGCUAUCUCUUAGGUGAGAGAGGCGUGCACCGUCUUAUCACAAGUUCUACAACCAGUGAGGUAUAUAUAUUAUGCUUCUCAUGAUGAAUCAACUCUCCAUUUGUUAAAGAGCUAAGAAGAUGUUUUCUUUGUGAUAGGUUUCUUCAGCGUCUGUAGAGAUCAUACCGCUGUUCUUGAGAGCUUCUCCUGAUUUUGAAGUGAAGGAUGAGGAUUUGGUUGUAACGUAUCCUGCAAAAGAGAAUCAUAAACUAGCUGAGCAGAUGGUUCGUAUUCAGCAUCUUCCGAGUGGCAUAACUGUAGAAUCUUCAGGUAUUCUUGAGUUGUGUAACACUUUGGUUAAGUGCAUUUUGUGCAAGAUUAUGAUAUAAGAUAUGUUUUGAUGCAGGAGAAAGAAACCGGUUUGCUAAUAGGAUCAAAGCUCUAAACCGGUUAAAGGCAAAGCUGCUUGUGAUAGCUAAAGAACAGAAGGUUUCAGAUGUGUAUAAAAUCAACGGCAAGAACAUUGUGGAGCCAUGGAGAGUAGAAGAAACCAGGAGAUAUGUCUCUAAAGGUCAGAAGAUGGUGGUUGAUUUGAAAACCGGUUUAGAGAUUUUGGACCUUAAAUCGGUUUUGGAUGGGAACAUUGGGCCACUUCUUGGAGCUCAUAUUGGCAUGAGAAGAUCCAUUGAUGCCAUUUAAUUAAUUGAGGCUUUUUUGUUGUACACAUAAAAUAGUCAAACCACUACAAGAAAACGUAACUUUAACAAGGAAGUUUAACGAGGAAAAAUAAUCCUCGUAAAAAAACGUUGAUUUUGCGAGGAAAGUACGUUGAGAAAGAAAAGCAUCGUUAUUUCGUCGUAAGUUAACGACAAAAAAUAUUCGUCGUAAAGACGAUGUAAAUUGACGUGGCUUUUACGAGGAAAUAGUUUUUCCUCGUAAAAUCCACGUAAAUUUCGCGAGUGCUUUACGACGAAAUAUUUUACGUGUACUUAACGAGGAAAUUUUGAAUCCACCAACUUGGUAGGUGGCUCACGUUUUUUUUUUGGCCAUACAAUUAAUUUUCGUCGUAAUUUCAUAGUAAAAUUACAACUACCAGAUUCGAAAUUUUCUAUAAAUAUGGAUGUUGGAACAUCAUUUUAAACACACCAACAACAAAAAACGUGAAAGAAAAAAAAAUGGCUGGCUCUGGGACUAUUUACGAGUUGCGGAAUUGGAUGUAUAUGCAUAGAGAUGCUAACGGGAGAGUGACGAAAGAAUACCUUGCGGGAUAGAAAAACUUUAUAUAUAAGUAAAAGAGGGCUUGCCUUGACUCUGUAAGACCGAGGUUGAAGCUCCUUCCUAAUCUCCACCAUUUUCCGCUCCUCCGAGUUCAAUCUAAGAGACAUAAUGUAAGGAUGCAAAAGACCAGGAGUGUCAUACAUCUUCGCCUUUGCAGACAACACUCCACCAAUCCUCAAUAUCCCCAGAGUUGUUCCAGGAACCGGAGCCUCCGUGAGCCUCGUGACCUUUGCACCGUCUUUCUUGGAGAAGGCAUUGAUCAAAGUAGACUUCCCAGCAUUCUGAGCUCCAAUAACCCACACGUUUCCUCUAGGACCAGCCAGUUCCUUGAUGUAAGCUAACAGGUUCUUGAUACCAAGAUCUUUCCUAGCACUGACCAUAUACACACCACUCAGCCUAGGCGCUCCUCCAGCCUUGGCACGAUGGCGCACCCAUCUGUCUAACCUCGCUGGUGAAAUCUGCGAUGGGAGUAAGUCUACUUUUGUAGCAACGAGCACGAGUUUGGGUAGGUUCUUGCCCACCUUAGGAUCGUUCUCAGCCUUCUGAAGCGCCUUGAACAAAGAGUUUGCUGCUCGUUUGGGGAAAGAGCCAUCAAAGUCCACACAGUCAACAACCAUGACUACAACUGUAGUACUUGAGUUCCUACUCAUUGGUUUUAUCAGUCUAGUUGAGAUCAUUCUAUCGAAAUCGAAAUCAGGUAAGAGAUUCUCAGCAGCUUGGUUCUUCACUUGGCCGUAGUUUCUCAGAGAAUGGCAACGAGCACAUACUGUUACAUCAUCAUCAUCUUUAUCCUUCUUGGCUUCCUCUCUAGCUAGCUUCU
rnacentral:lncRNA from 1 species